rnacentral:lncRNA from 1 species
UUUUUUUUUUUUUUGGCUUGUUUCAAGUUUCUUUUUUCCGAGUUCAUUUUCACAUCAAUGCAUGGUAUCUGAAAUUCUCAUUCAAUAGACUCUCCUCUCAUGAUUGCGAUUUCGCCUCUCUUACAGAUCCUCAGAGGUUAGUCCUUACUUCUCAGAAUCACAGCUGUUGGUUUUGAGCACAUACAGCCAUCCUUUUAGUACAGUCACAGAGUCUGCGUUUUUUACCCAUCGAAGGUGUGUGGCAACCCUGCCUCCAGCCGGUCUCUUGGCACCCUUUGCCCACUUCCCAUCUCUGUGUCACAUUGGGUAAUUCUCUCAAUAUUUCACAAGUUUUCACCACUAUUAUAUUUGUUAUGGUGACCUGUGAUCAGUGAUCUUGGACCUUAGGAUUGUAAUUGUUUUGGUUUUUUUUUAAGUGAUAAAGUAUUUUUAAAAUAAGCUAUGUGCAUGGGUUGUUUUAGCUGUAAUCCUAUUGCGUAUUUAACAGGCAACAACAAAGAGUGCACAUAACUUUUAUGUGCCCUGGGAAACCAGAACAGCCAAGUGACUUGCCGUAUUGCAGUGUUCCUUUACCACCAACCGUCUGGAGUUGAACCUGUGGUAUCUCUGAAGUCUGCCUGUUAAAAUCAAGUUAGUCCUUUGAGCCACCCUAACCUGGAAGGGGACCUAGGGUGACAAAGGAGUGACAUUUGGAGGCGGAAGCAUGAUUGGCCUCAGCCUGAGGGUACCAGCACCUCUUUUUCAUCUCUUCACCUUGGACACACACAUCUCAGAAACACCUGUGUCUCUGGCGGGUCGGACCCUUAAUAGGCAAACUUGAAUCUUUGUCAUCACACUGAUGGAAUCAGGUUGGAUCUCGAAUACAUCUUUAUUAUUCAUUCUUAGUCUUUAUCAUAUUUCUCCAAAGGCACCCCCUCCCUGCCUCUUCCCUCUCCCAUCAAUGCAUCAAUUAUUUUUCAUCUGUUUACGCAUCUUAUUCUUGUGUCUUCCUUCCUUCCUCCUUUCUUUUUCCUUUCUUUCUCCUUCCUUCCUUCUUUCUUUCCUUUCUUUCUUUUUCCCUUCCCUUCCCUUCCCUUCCUUCUUAGGGCCACCCCUACAGCAUAUGGAAGUUCCCAAGCUACAGCUCAUGGCAAUGCCAGAUCCUUGACUCACUGAGAGGGACCAGGGAUCAAACCUGUAUCCUCAUGGAUACUAGUCAGAUUCAUUUCUGCUGCGUCACCACAUGAACGCCCCUCUUCCUAUUCUGAAAGCACCACUGUGUUUUUGAUGAAUUCCAUCUAAGUAUUUCCCCUAACCAAGGCACUGGAUAGGUAUUUUGAAGGACACCACAGCAGGAGUUCUGGUUGUGGCUCAGUGGGUUGAGAAUCCGACUAGUGUCCCUGAGGAGGCGGGUUUGAUUCCCGUCCUUGUUCAGUGGGUGAAGGAUUGGGUGUUGCCACAAGCUGCGCCAUAGGUCACAGGUGCAGCUCACAUCUGGUGGUGUUGGGGCUGUGGCAUAGGCGGGCAGCUGCAGCUCUGAUUUGAUCCCUCGCCUGGGAAUGUUCAUGUGCCACAGGUAAGGCUGUAAAAAGAAAGAUACCAUGGCAAGCAAAAGGUAGCCCCAGCAAUUAAGGAGUUCAAACAUUGAAGAUAGAAGAUUGCUUUCUAAAUAAAUGGUGAGAUGAUGUCUAUUAUCUCAGCGUGGCUUAACCCAAUCGGCAUGCAUGUUGUCACUAUUUAUCAUUCAGUAAAGCUGAGGAUUUGAUUCCCAAUAAUGAGAAGACUGUCCGUGCGAGUUCUAUUAUGUGUCUAAUUGACCCUGGGCUGAUUAGUAUUGCUUCAAAUUAGUGACAUAUAAUAUUCAUGACUGGGACCUAACGGAUGGAGAAGGUCAGUCUAAAUUAGUGAAAACUGUCAAUUUCCAGAAUGCCCCUUUACACAUUAAGUGCUUGCAAAAAUACGUCCAUCGCACUGACAUAAUGAACAGAACAGGCUCAUUUGCAUUAAAUUAAUUAUGGUCAGACAUAGAGCCUUUCUCUCCUUUUUUUUUUUUCCCCUUCUUUUUCUCACCUGACCUAGGGUAAUGGAGCUGUCUAGUGAUUCUCAGGUGCUUUGGAUAAAUAUCGGGACUUUCUGGACCCGUUGAGUCACAAAUGAAGAUUGGCUCUGCCAUCAGUACAAAUACUUAUAAGCCCCCAAGGCACAUUUUGAUGAAAUCAAGAAAGGUUCUAAUUUCUGUCUUCAGACAUAAGCCUUUGCACAAAUGAUGCACAUCAAGAGAGAAUGAUAUUCUGCUGGAGAUGGGAUUAGGCAAGCGUUAGGCUGAUUCAGGUAAGGUCUCUCCAUGAGGUGUGUGUUUGUGUGUGUCACUGUGUGAAACCCAGCAGGGCCUUCUGGGGCUCCUGGACACACAAGCCUUUCUGUGGUCCCCAUGUCUUGUUUUGAGGGAAUGAGCUUCAGGCUCCAGGACCUUCCCUGGGCCUUAGAGGGCAGGUGCCAACCGGUGCUGAUCAGGGAAGGGAGGGCAUGCAGAGACCCGGGAGGAGCCAUCCAGACACAAUUGUGCAGCCUGGGGGUUGGUCCUGGUUCCUCCUCAAGGGAUACACAUAGCAAUAUCUUUGAGCUCUUCUGCAGAACGAAAAUCCCCAACAAAUGGAAGCCAGGGAGGAGGACCACCAGAACCAGUCCUGGGGCCCCCAAAUACCAGCUCUGAAGAAGAAUGAAGCUUAAUAUGAUCCUUAUCUGUGGCUGUCUUCUACUCCCAAACUACAAAAGGCUUCCUAAUGUCUCCCAAGAGAGGGUACAGUCUUUAGGGCCUCAGCCUGCUGUGGUCUCCUUUGCCUGGCAAAACAGUGAAGCUAUUUUUUUCUCCUUCACGUUUCUAUUUGGCACCAGUGGACAGAGGCUGAGUUUCGGCAGUGUGUGUGUGUGUGUGUGUGUGUGUGUGUGUGUGUGUGUUGCGUGGGGUGCACAUAAGACUAAUAGUCUUAUAGACCAGGAAUGUCAUUCUUGAGUUACAGAGUGCAAUGCUGGCCAGGCUCCCAAAAGCAGGCAUGCUGGCUCUGAGUGUUCAUCUUUGCUGGCUGCUCUGACACAUUGCCACAGGCUUGGUGGCUUGAAACUUCAUUCGCUUGCACAUCUGUAGGUUGCAGAUGCAGCCCGUGUCUCUGGGCUCACAUCAAGGUGUGGACAGAGCUCUAGGGGACUGUGUGUAGCUGUGCCCUUUCCAGCAUGAGCGGCUGCCGACAUUGCUUGACUCGUGAUCACUUCCUUCGCUUUCAAAGCCAGCGGCCACAGCUGCAGCCAGCACGGGACACCACACUGACCACUUCUGCCUCCUUCCACUUAAAGAUCUUUACGAUGCCUGAGUCCACGUGGACACUCCAGGAGAAUCUCCCAGUGUUAAGGUCCCUGGAUCAGCAACUUAAAUUCCAUGUGUAAGCUUCAUUUCCCUUUUUCCUGUAAAGUAACGCGUUCACAGGUGCUGAAAUUAGGAGGUGAGCAUCUUUGAAAAGGAGGUGUUAUGCUCUUCACCACAUCGUGCACCUGCUCACCUUGUCGCCACCCAUCACCAGAGAAAAAUGGUCUCUAAUCCAUCUUAUGAUCAGUAAGGAACCUCUCACAGAGAUUCCAAGAUGACAUUUGGACUAUAUCCUUCAUGGAUACGUCUAGAUUUCUGAUUCCAGAUGUAAAACACUAACUUUCUGCAUUAGAGAGCAAGUCAAGUUAAUUUUCAUAUACAAAUCCAUCAUGUCAGCUUAUAAUGAGGCAUUUUAAACCAAAUUAUCAAAAAACAGUACUGUAGGAGUUCCCGUCGUGGCUCAGUGGUUAACGAAUCCGACUAGGAACCAUGAGGUGGCGGGUUCGAUCCCUGGCCUUGCUCAGUGGGUUAAGGAUCCAGCGUUGCCAUGAGCUUUGGUGUAGGUCGCACACGCGGCUCGAAUCCCGCGUUGCUGUGGCUCUGGCGUAGGCUGGUGGCUACAGCUCUGAUUCGACCCCUAGUCUGGGAACCUCCAUAUGCCAUGAGAGUGGCCCUAGAAAAGGCAAAAAAACCCCAAAAAACAGUACUGUGCUGUGCGGUCCACGCAAUGUCUAUCAUGAAGUAUGCUGAUUUUUUUUUUUGCUUCCAUUUGAUUUAGCAAAUAAAUUAAAAGGGUCCAAAAUACAGGCCUAAAAAAACAAUCUCAGAGUAUGAAUAACUCAAAGACAAGCUUAGUCGAAUAUCCUUAUUUUAAGAUGUGAAGUUGACACACUGAAAAUUCCAAAUACAGUUAGUGACCGAUAGAGGUAGGACCUCAUUCUUCCAAAUUUGAGUUUUAGUACCAGAGAAAAACGCUUAUCUUUCGUCUCUGGUAGAAGCCCUCCAGGGUUUUUCAUUGAGAACAAUGAAUGUUUUUCAAUUUAGAAUAAUUAGAAUUAUUUGCAUUUACAAUAACAACUCUGUAAAUUUUUUAAACAGGGAGUUACAAAGGGCUCAUCAGGUUAAGAAGCCAACUAGUAUCCAUGAAGAUGAAGGUUUGAUCCCUGGCCUUGCUCAGUGGGUUAAGGAUCCGGCAUUGCCGCAAGCCGCGGUAGGGGUCGCAGGUGUGGCUCAGAUCAGGGGUUGCUGUGGCUGUGGUGUAGACCUGCAGCUGCAGCUCCAGUUCCACUCCUAGCCUGGGAACCUCCAUGUGCCAUGGGUGCAGCCCUAAAAAGACAAAAAAAAAAAAAAAAAGAAAAAAAGAAAAAAGAGGAAAAAAAAGAGAAUAAAUAAAUAUUUUAAAUGGAAGCCAUCAGCUGAUGGGCUGUGGUCCAUGUUCAAAUUUCAGCUCGUGCUCCAUAGAUUUUAUUUACCACCUAGCACAAUCGAAGGUGAGGCUGUCUCGAUACCACUGCAUGAUAGAUGCCACUUGGUUAGGAAGAUCUUAAAAGACACUUUUGGAAUCCACCUGCUUAUGUUCCCCAGAUAAUGCUUUGUGUGCUCUUAGACAUACGAUGUGAUUAAUUGCAUGGAAACAUGGAAAAAAAAAAAAGAUUUCCAUCUCCAUGGAAACCGUGGUGUGUUCUAUUAUGAUCCCUGUGAAGAUUAAACUUUGAGAAACUGAGAAAAGGGUGAGUGAUUUUAAAUAUCUCUUGUUACGGAAACUCCUGGAAGAGAUUCUGCAACCAUGGAACUGCGUGGAGAGUUGCAGUAAACACACACUGUGUUGAGAUCAGCAAACAUGAUGUGCCUUUUACACUCAAACGGCAAAGAUUUCAGUUUGUGCCAGGAGUGUCUCC